AAUGGAGUGGGGCAUAUCAGGAUGGGGCUGGUUUAACACUAGGGGAGGAGGUGGAACAGUGCAAUGCUUUCCUCUCUAGGAUUGCAGUGACCACAAAACACAUGUCCAAACCAGGACGCACAGACAUGCUGACUCUCAUGGCCAUGCGCUGGAAUCAGCAAAAGUUCAACAAUUUGGCCACCGCACUGACCCGGCGAUAUCAGAAGACCACAAAAGCUCUGCAAAGCCAGUUGCAAAACCUAGAGUCCAUGAAAGUCGAACUUGCAGUGACAGAGAGCCAAUUGGAAGACUGGGUCAGUGACGUAAAGGAGUGGG